CAGCAACAACAACAGCAGCAGUAGCAACAGCAGCAGUAGCAACAACAGCAACAGCAGCAGCAGCAACAACAGCAGCAACAGCAACAGCAGCAGCAGCAGCAGCAACAGCAGCAACAGCAGCAGCAGCAGCAGCAGCAG
ensembl:miRNA Gm44464 predicted gene, 44464